rnacentral:rRNA from 1 species
GAGCGGAAAGGGGUUGCAACAAAGAGGUGGCUGCGACUGUUUACUAAAAACACAGCACUCUGCAAACUCGUAAGAGGACGUAUAGGGUGUGACGCCUGCCCGGUGCCGGAAGGUUAAUUGAUGGGGUUAGUCUUCGGACGAAGCUCUUGAUCGAAGCCCCGGUGAACGGCGGCCGUAACUAUAACGGUCCUAAGGUAGCGAAAUUCCUUGUCGGGUAAGUUCCGACCUGCACGAAUGGCGUAACGAUGGCCACACUGUCUCCACCCGGGACUCAGUGAAAUCGAAAUUGCUGUGAAGAUGCAGUGUACCCGCACCAAGACGGAAAGACCCCGUGCACCUUUACUACAGCUUCACACUGGACUUUGAACCUAUUUGUGUAGGAUAGGUGGGAGGCUUUGAAGCCAGGACGCCAGUUCUGGUGGAGCCAACCUUGAAAUACCACCCUGAUAUGUUUGGGGCCCUAACCGAGAUCCGUUAUCCGGGUCCGGGACAGUGUGUGGUGGGUAGUUUGACUGGGGCGGUCUCCUCCCAAAGAGUAACGGAGGAGCGCGAAGGUACUCUAAGCGCGGUCGGAAAUCGCGCGGUUAGUGCAAAGGCAUAAGAGUGCUUGACUGCGAGACUGACACGUCGAGCAGGUGGGAAACCAGGUCUUAGUGAUCCGGUGGUUCUGUAUGGAAGGGCCAUCGCUCAACGGAUAAAAGGUACGCCGGGGAUAACAGGCUGAUACCCCCCAAGAGUUCACAUCGACGGGGGUGUUUGGCACCUCGAUGUCGGCUCAUCACAUCCUGGGGCUGUAGCCGGUCCCAAGGGUAUGGCUGUUCGCCAUUUAAAGUGGUACGCGAGCUGGGUUUAGAACGUCGUGAGACAGUUUGGUCCCUAUCUGGUGUGGGCGUUAGAAACUUGAGAGGAGCUGCUCCUAGUACGAGAGGACCGGAGUGGACGUACCUCUGGUGUUCCAGUUGUCAUGCCAAUGGCAUUGCUGGGUAGCUAUGUACGGACGGGAUAACCGCUGAAAGCAUCUAAGCGGGAAGCCCCCCUCAAGAUAAGGUCUCUCUGGAUCCUUGAGAUCCCUGAAGGGUCGUUGAAGACUACAACGUUGAUAGGCGGGGUGUGGAAGUGCAGUAAUGCAUUAAGCUAACCCGUACUAAUAGCCCGUGAGGCUUGAUCAU